UACGUAGGGUGCGAGCGUUGCCCGGAUUUAUUGGGCGUAAAGGGCGCGUAGGCGGCUUGGCAAGUGGAUGGUGAAAUCCCUCGGCUUAACCGAGGAACUGCCGUCCAAACUGCUUCGCUUGAGACCGGGAGAGGUGAGUGGAAUUCCCAGUGUAGCGGUGAAAUGCGUAGAUAUCGGGAGGAACACCUGUGGCGAAAGCGGCGCACUGGACCACAACUGACGCUGAGGCGCGAAAGCUAGGGGAGCAAACAGG
rnacentral:rRNA from 1 species